AUGGCCAAGAAAGGAAUCCAGUAUGUCGUGGUGGAUGCCUUCACGGCCGAGCCGUUCAAGGGCCACCCGGCCGCGGUGUGUUUCCUCGAGGACGACGCCGCCGCCCCCACGGGGGAUGGGCGGUGGAUGCAGUCCGUCGCCGUCGAGUUCAACCAGUCCCAGACCGCCUUCCUCUCCCGCGACUCCUCCUCCCUCGCAGCCGGCGCCGCCAUCCCGCGGUUCCACCUCCGCUGGUUCACCACCGUCACCGAGGUCGCGCUCUGCGGGCACGCGACGCUGGCGACCGCCCACUUCCUCUUCACGGCCGACCUCGGGGAGCGCCAUGGAGUGGUCGAGUUUGCGACCAAGUCAGGCAUCCUGACCGCCAAGAAGGUUCCUGCACCGGAGACGGAGGAGCAGGGGAAGCUGUUCAUUGAGCUGGACUUCCCCAUGAGUGAUUACGUGGGUUGCGAUCCCGCCGGCGAGCUGCCGUCCAUCCCGGAGACGCUCAACGGCGCGUCCGUCGUCAGUGUUCACAAAUCGUUGACCACCACCGACUUCAUUGUCGAACUUUCAUCAGGGAAAGAGGUCACCGAUCACCUCUUUCCCUGA
rnacentral:rRNA from 1 species